UGGAUCCAGAAUGUAGGGCUUCGGCCUUGCUUUCUGCCCUUCCCUUACUGAUUAUACCCAUGUCUUUUGCGUACUAUUUGUUUCCUUGGUAGGCUUGCCUGCCGAUAGGACAUCAUUAAACCUUUUGUAAUUGCAGUCAGCGUCAGAAAAACAUAAUAAUUACAACUUUUAACAACGGAUCUCUUGGUUCUGGCAUCGAUGAAGAACGCAGCGAAAUGCGAUAAGUAGUGUGAAUUGCAGAAUUCAGUGAAUCAUCGAAUCUUUGAACGCACAUUGCGCCCCUUGGUAUUCCAUGGGGCAUGCCUGUUCGAGCGUCAUUUGUACCCUCAAGCUCUGCUUGGUGUUGGGUGUUUGUCCCGCUUUUCGCGUGGACUCGCCUUAAAACAAUUGGCAGCCGGCAUAUUGGCCUGGAGCGCAGCACAUUUUGCGCCUCUUGUCAUGAUUGUUGGCAUCCAUCAAGACUAUUUUUUGCUCUUGACCUCGGAUCAGGUAGGGAUACCCGCUGAACUUAAGCAUAUCAAUA
rnacentral:rRNA from 1 species